rnacentral:rRNA from 1 species
AGUGAACGCUGGCGGUAGGCCUAACACAUGCAAGUCGAACGGCAGCACAGUAAGAGCUUGCUCUUACGGGUGGCGAGUGGCGGACGGGUGAGGAAUACAUCGGAAUUUACUUUUUCGUGGGGGAUAACGUAGGGAAACUUACGCUAAUACCGCAUACGACCUACGGGUGAAAGCAGGGGAUCUUCGGACCUUGCGCGAUUGAAUGAGCCGAUGUCGGAUUAGCUAGUUGGCGGGGUAAAGGCCCACCAAGGCGACGAUCCGCAGCUGGUCUGAGAGGAUGAUCAGCCACACUGGAACUGAGACACGGUCCAGACUCCUACGGGAGGCAGCAGUGGGGAAUAUUGGACAAUGGGCGCAAGCCUGAUCCAGCCAUACCGCGUGGGUGAAGAAGGCCUUCGGGUUGUAAAGCCCUUUUGUUGGGAAAGAAAAGCAGCAGGUUAAUACCCCGCUGUUCUGACGGUACCCAAAGAAUAAGCACCGGCUAACUUCGUG